rnacentral:rRNA from 1 species
CUGCUGCCUUCCGUAGGAGUCUGGGCCGUGUCUCAGUCCCAAUGUGGCCGUCCACCCUCUCAGGCCGGCUACCGAUCGUCGCCUUGGUGGGCCGCUGCCCCGCCAACCAGCUAAUCGGACGCGGGCCCAUCCCAUACCACCGGAGUUUUUCACACUCUCCCAUGCGGGAAUGUGCGCUUAUGCGGUGUUAGCGCCUGUUUCCAGGCGUUAUCCCCCGGUAUGGGGCAGGUUGCCCACGCGUUACUCACCCGUCCGCCACUAAG